CACGUAGGGGACGAGCGUUGUCCGGAUUCAUUGGGCGUAAAGCGUGCGUAGGCGGUUUGUUAAGUCUGAUGUGAAAGCCCUGGGCUCAACCUGGGAAUGGCAUUGGAUACUGGCAACCUAGAAUGUGGUAGAGGGUGGCGGAAUUCCCGGUGUAGCAGUGAAAUGCGUAGAUAUCGGGAGGAACAUCCGUGGCGAAGGCGGCCACCUGGACCAACAUUGACGCUGAGGCACGAAAGCGUGGGGAGCAAACAGG
rnacentral:rRNA from 1 species